GACAGAGGGUGCAAACGUUGUUCGGAAUUACUGGGCGUAAAGCGAGUGUAGGCGGUUUGGUAAGUCGGAUGUGAAAGCCCCGGGCUCAACCCGGGAAGUGCACUCGAUACUGCCAAGCUAGAGUAUCGGAGAGGUUGGUGGAAUUCCCCAAGUAGAGGUGAAAUUCGUAGAUAUGGGGAGGAACACCAAUGGCGAAGGCAGCUCGCUGGGACGUGACUGACGCUGAGACGCGAAAGCGUGGGGAGCAAACAGG
rnacentral:rRNA from 1 species